UCAGGUAUGUCUUUAUCAGCAGUGUGAAAACAGACGAAUUAAGAAGGACACCAACCUUCUUAAUUAUAUAAAUGAAUUCCUUGGAUUCAAUGAAUAUCUAUCUAUCUAUCUAUCUAUCUAUCUAUCUAUCUAUCUAUCAUCCAUCAUUUGUUAUCUCCCCGUACUGAUUCUAUUUCUCUGGAAAAUCCUCACUGAUACAGAUGCUUACUAAUUCCACUUUUAAAAAAAACAACUAGAAAAGAGAAAGUAACUAAUUCAUUUUUGAGCCCAAAUGAUCUCCAUGAAAGCUAGAGCCCUCCAACUAAAGACUGCCAGAAAACAAUUUUUGAUUAAGACAACUACAUUUUUUUCUGAAUUUAACAAGAAAUGAUGCAGAAGGUGAGAAGCAGAGAGGGCAAAUAUGAUCUGAAAUACAAUUAUUGUUAGGGUUUAAGUUGACUAUUGUAUGUUAGCAGGAGAUGGGAGACACGUUGUGUUUUUCUGGGCUCUUGAUGAUUUUCUUCGUGCCAGAAAACUGUUCAUGUUUUUUAAACACUAUAAAAUGUCUCCCUUUCCCCCUCAGCACAUGGGAAAUGUCAUCACACAAAUGAUCUAACUCCAUAUAACUACGCCAGAGAGAUUGGAAUUUAUAUUCAUGAGGAACACACAGACACAUAAUUCAUGAGUGAUGCUGACAUCAGUAGAUACUCCUGACCAUCACAGAGAUGCUUACAGCAUCCACAAAUUGCAAUUGUGAACUCCUGCUGAGAAUGACCAGGUCUGGGUUCAACGUCUUUGCCUCCUUUUCUACACAUUGCAUAAGGUUCCCCUCCAACACAUCUCCCAUUAGCAUGGAUUGCAAAAGCUUCAGGCAGCAGUGAGUCAACCAUAGCUGCACCUGGGGAACAGAGAAAAAAAAAUACCACUGCCCUGACCCCAUUCCAAAAGGACUGAAUCAGACUCUCUAAUCAGGGGCUUGGCUAAUAACCAUAGUUAAGGGAAAUAAAGUAAUUCUGGUGCAACUUGACUUGAGAAUCAGUUGUACUUCCAUCUGGCUGCAUAGUAGAAUCAUGUGGGGAACACGCCAAUAUCUAGGCCAUACCCAAAAACAAAGCUAUCAGAUUCUCUGGGACUGAGGCUUCUGCAGUCAUCAUUUAUAAAUAAAACAAAAAUCUUCAGAUGAUUCUAAUCUGCAGCUAAAGUAAGCAACAAAGAGCUGUUCGUUGUGCAAAAAAUAAAAAUAAAAUUAGAAAAUAUGUUUUCUGGAAUAUGAGAAACUUUGGAAAGACUUGGAAGUAAGAGGACUCCCUGAGGUGAGGGAAACACAAAAAUUUGCCUGCUAGUUAGAUAUUUAUGAUAGAUCACUGUAUGUAUCCAGAAAAAUGUCUGGAAUCAAAGUCAAUCUUAUGAACUCUCUCAGGGGAACCAAGGAAGUUUGGAGACUUUUUAAUUUCUACCCUCCUUUUCUGUUGACAGUUGUAACCACAAGCAUGAUUGUCCUUUAAUCAUAAAAGGAAAAGAAAAGAAAGAAAGGUCACCUUGAGCCAGUGGGAUGUGCUGGGUUUCCCUCCACCUGCCUGUCACCCGCAGCUUAAUCUUCUUUGCCAACUCCAGAGCCUUGGCUGUUCCCACUAACAGCACCAUGAUUCUUAUAAUUCUUCCACCUCCUCCUCUCCUGCCUCUUAAAGCCCUGGCAAUUAACCUCAUGUCUCCAUCCCUUAAUUCCCAUACAGAUGUUGGCAAUUGUCAUAUCUCCGGUGGAGCCCUGCAGUGUGGCCUCCAAGGUUCAGUCUUUCCACAAAUAGUCUCUUAUCAGCAUAUCAAGGUUGAUCUGUUGAAAUCUGGAUCAUCGUGCACCAGUGAUGAAUAUUUCUAAGCAUAAUUCUUUUUCUGUUUUUAUUAGAGACAGAUCCUGUAUUCAUUUUCACUUAGCUUUUUGUCUGCGUUGUUGGCAGCCAUUUUUUUUUUCACUUGGGAAAUGAUGCCAGUGGCAGAGGUUCCAAAGAGCACAACCUUCAGAGCACUCAUUUCGUCCAUACUUUGUGCAUUUGCCCAUUCAUUCAUUCGUUCAUUUAUACACCUUCAUGGAGCAUGUUCUCCAAGGCUGGCAUUAGCUAAGUGCUUAGGCCACAAAGCUUAAAGACGCAAUCUCUACCCUCAAACAGCUUACCAACUAGUGAAAAAUUCAGACAACCAAAUCCACAAUUAUACUAAAGGAUGAUUUACAAUGAGAGAAGAAAAUAGAAGCUAAGUGCCAUCAAUUACAGGCUGUGUGACCCUAGGAAAUCUACUUAGCCUCUCCGUGCCUCAGGUUCCUUGCCAAGAAAAUAGAACCAUUAGAAGCAGAUGCCAUGAGGGUUGUAAUGAGUACUAAAUGAGUUAUUAUUUGUAAAGUGCUGUUAACUGUGUUUGGUACAUGUGUUUGCUCAAGAAAGUAGAUACAAAGCUGCCAUAAACAGAAUACAGAAUAAAAAUAAAUCUGCAUACAUAUUGUCAGUUAACUUUUGAUAAUGGUGCAAAGGUAAUUUAAUGAAUAAUGAUUAUGUUAUUGAGCAGUCAAUUCAUACCUGGCGUGCAGAGAAGCCCCUAUUAUGGCACCAGCUUUUGAGACAAGAAAAAGCUUCACUGCAAGUUGACUGGCAAGGAGGUAGAGGCAACGCUGAAAUUUGUCUCCCUGAUCUGGAGGGGAAGCCACGUGCCACGUCGUGAAACAGACCAGUGGAGAGCCCCAUGUGAGUAAGCUUGGAAGCAGAGCUUCUGAGAUCUGACAAUGGCCACAUAUGUGAGCUGCGAAGCAGACCUUCCCGCAGCUGAGCCUUGAGAUGACUCUGCCCCGUCUGACACCUUGAGUACAGUCUUGUGAGAGACUCUGAGCCAGAGCUAUCCAGCUGAGCUGCUCCCAGAUUCUUCACCUACGGAAAUUGUGAGACAAUAAAUGUGUGUUGUUUCUAGCUGCUAAAUUUUGGGGUGAUUUGUUACACAGCCAUAGAUAACUAAUACAAGAUGUAACUGAAUCCCUUGUGUGACGUCCAAGACAUGUCAGCCGUAUAAAGAAUUCAACUAUAAAUUGUGUUGUUGAAAGCUUAAGGGUAGUUAUUCAUUGCACUGGUUUCCAAAGUGAUGCAGUUUUGCUAGGUAUUCAUUUCCUUCUGAUGCCAAGAAUUGAUCCCGUUUUUCACUUGUUUCAAAUGAAAGAUAAAUAUAGGAGGAGAGAGAGCUAUAAAGCACUUUAAAAGGUUACACAAAAAACUAAGAGAUAAUAAUAAAGCCCACAUUUCUUCAAUAGGCACAGUCCCAGAAAAGUGGUCCAUUCUUUUUUUGCAGUUAUAUAUGUUUUUAAAAAGUGCUUGCUAGGAUACCUUAUUGUAAAUGUUGAGUUAUAUAAGAAAGCAGACUAUGAAAAAUAAUGAUCAAAAGAGUACACAAGACAAAAGCAAGAAUCAAAAUGAUGGAAGACUCAUAUAUUUACUCUCUAUAAAGAACUAGACAUCAAACAUGUAGAUAUGUUAAGGCUUCAACAUUUUGCAGUGAGCCCCUGACAUCAGUUCCCACUUUCUCGGAUAGUAGCCCAUUCUGCUCUAGUUCAUGGGUCAGGAUGUGACUCCACUUACACCUCCGAGAGAAGAGCACAUGACCUGGUCUCAAACCACCAUAUCUCUCUGAUAUGAAUCAGAAAUGGGCAUGUGACUAAGCCAGUCCAAUCAGAAUGAAUCUUUAAUUUUUUAAGCUCUACAAGGUUUUCAUUCUUUCAUGUGGCCCAAACUUGGAAACAUAUAAAGAUGGAGCUACUGAAUCAUCUCUCCAUGAUGACAGAAGGGCGUGGAUUGGAGAUGCUGGGCACUAUUGAAUGUAGUCUUAGGAUGAAGCUAGCAUAGCAGAUGGCAGGAGGAAUAAAUCCAGAUGACAUUGUAUGAGCCUGAAUCCAGCCUGCCUGAAGCCAAUCCUGCCUCUGAAUGUUCAGUUAUGCGUGACAAUACAUUUGCUUCUUAGCCUAAGCAAGACAGAGGAGAAAUUUUUGGCUAGCUGUUUGUUUGCUUUAGAUCACAUUCAAUAGAAAGUAUCCUGAUAUCUUUAGAUCCAAGCAUUUUUAAAUGCUGGCAUUUUCACUUGACAGAUAUCCUAAAGAAUUUGAGUGCUUCAGGUCAGCUUUCAUCAAAACCUCAUAAAAUCUUUGUUAUAUGCAGGAUCUGCCAUUGCCAGCCAAUGCCACAAUGGAAGUGUAUCUUUAAUAAUAAUAAUAGCAGCCACAUAUUGAGCACUUAAUAUGUAUUGAGUACUGUGCUAAGAUAUUAUAUAUGUUGUUCCAUUGUUCUUCAUUGUUCUAAAAGCAAGAAAGUAAAAUUGUUAAAACACAGACUCUAGAACUCAACGAUCGCCUCAGGUGUGAAUCUUUUUUCUGCCCCUUUCACCAGUGUAAUCUUUUAAAAAAUCUAUAUGCCUCAAUUUCCCUGUCUGUAAAAUGAAGGGUGAUGCUACUGUCUUCAUCAUAAAAUUAUGA
rnacentral:lncRNA from 10 species